UGGGGAAUUUUGCACAAUGGGGGAAACCCUGAUGCAGCGACGCCGCGUGAUUUAGAAGGCCUUCGGGUUGUAAAAAUCUUUUCUAUGGGAAGAAAAUGACAGUACCAUAGGAAUAAGGGCCGGCUAAUUACGUGCCAGCAGCCGCGGUAAUACGUAAGGUCCGAGCGUUGUCCGGAAUCAUUGGGCGUAAAGGGUACGUAGGCGGGUAAGCAAGUUAGAAGUGAAAUCCUAUAGCUCAAUUAUAGUAAGCUUUUAAAACUGCUCAUCUUGAGGUAUGGAAGGGAAAGUGGAAUUCCUAGUGUAGCGGUGAAAUGCGCAGAUAUUAGGAGGAAUACCGGUGGCGAAGGCGACUUUCUGGCCAUAACCUGACGCUGAGGUACGAAAGCGUGGGUAGCAAACAGG
rnacentral:rRNA from 1 species